rnacentral:rRNA from 1 species
GAUGAACGCUGGCGGCGUGCCUAAUACAUGCAAGUCGAGCGAACAGACGAGGAGCUUGCUCCUCUGACGUUAGCGGCGGACGGGUGAGUAACACGUGGAUAACCUACCUAUAAGACUGGGAUAACUUCGGGAAACCGGAGCUAAUACCGGAUAAUAUAUUGAACCGCAUGGUUCAAUAGUGAAAGACGGUUUUGCUGUCACUUAUAGAUGGAUCCGCGCCGCAUUAGCUAGUUGGUAAGGUAACGGCUUACCAAGGGAACGAUGCGUAGCCGACCUGAGAGGGUGAUCGGCCACACUGGAACUGAGACACGGUCCAGACUCCUACGGGAGGGAGCAGUAGGGAAUCUUCCGCAAUGGUCGAAAGCCUUACGGAGCAACGCCGCGUGAGUGAUGAAGGUCUUCGGAUCGUAAAACUCUGUUAUUAGGGAAGAACAAAUGUGUAAGUAACUAUGCACGUCUUGACGGUACCUAAUCAGAAAGCCACGGCUAACUACGUG